rnacentral:rRNA from 1 species
CGAGCGAAUCUGAGGGAGCUUGCUCCCAAAGAUUAGCGGCGGACGGGUGAGUAACACGUGGGUAACCUGCCUGUAAGAUUGGGAUAACUCCGGGAAACCGGAGCUAAUACCGGAUAACAUUUCGAACCGCAUGGUUCGAAAUUGAAAGAUGGUUUCGGCUAUCACUUACAGAUGGACCCGCGGCGCAUUAGCUAGUUGGGGAGGUAACGGCUCACCAAGGGAACGAUGCGUAGCCGACCUGAGAGGGUGAUCGGCCACACUGGGACUGAAACACGGCCCAGACUCCUACGGGAGGGAGCAGUAGGGAAUCUUCCGCAAUGGACGAAAGUCUGACGGAACAACGCCGCGUGAACGAUGAAGGCCUUCGGGUCGUAAAGUUCUGUUGGUAGGGAAGAACAAGUACCAGAGU